rnacentral:rRNA from 1 species
UACGGAGGGUGCAAGCGUUACUCGGAAUCACUGGGCGUAAAGGAUGCGUAGGCUGGAAAUCAAGUCGAGAGUGAAAUCCAACGGCUCAACCGUUGAACUGCUCUCGAAACUGGUUACCUAGAAUAUGGGAGAGGUAGAUGGAAUUAGUGGUGUAGGGGUAAAAUCCGUAGAUAUCACUAGGAAUACCGAUUGCGAAGGCGAUCUACUGGAACAUUAUUGACGCUGAGGCAUGAAACCGCCUGGAGCAAACCGCAUUAGAUGCCCGUGUAGUCC